rnacentral:tRNA from 1 species
UCCGAUGUAGUCUAGUGGUUAUGAUUUGCGGCUCUCACCCUCGGCCCUCGGUCCGGGUUCGAUUCCCGGCAUCGGAA